CAGCAUCCACUGAUAAACCUGAAGCAGCUGCUUUGGCUUCUGGGUUUGCACAGAGAUGCUACAGAGAACUUCCUCGCGCUUUCUGACCGCUACUUUCAGAGCGUUGCAGAUUGAAUUGAGGAAUACAUUU